rnacentral:rRNA from 1 species
CCUACGGGCGGCAGCAGUGAGGAAUAUUGGUCAAUGGGCGCAAGCCUGAACCAGCCAAGUAGCGUGAAGGAUGACUGCCCUACGGGUUGUAAACUUCUUUUAUGCGGGGAUAAAGUGGGCCACGUGUGGCUGUUUGUAGGUACUUUAUGAAUAAGGAUCGGCUAACUCCGUGCCAGCAGCCGCGGUAAUACGGAGGAUCCGGGCGUUAUCCGGAUUUAUUGGGUUUAAAGGGAGCGUAGAUGGGUUGUUAAGUCAGUUGUGAAAGUUUGCGGCUCAACCGUAAAAUUGCAAUUGAUACUGGCAGUCUUGAGUACAGUUGAGGUAGGCGGAAUUCGUGGUGUAGCGGUGAAAUGCUUAGAUAGCACGAAGAACCCCGAUUGCGAAGGCAGCUUACUAAACUGCGACUGACAUUGAUGCUCGAAAGUGUGGGUAUCAAACAGGAUUAGAUACCCUUGUAGUC